GAUGAACGCUGGCGGCGUGUCUAAGGCAUGCAAGUCGAAUGGGUUAGACCCAUGGCAAACGGGAGCGUAACACAUUGGUAACCUGCCCUCAACCGGAGGAUAACUUGCCGAAAGGUGAGAUAAUACUCCAUUAAUUGGACAAUCACAUGUUUGUUCAAUAAAGAUUUAUCGGUUGAGGAGGGGCCUAUGGUCUAUCAGCUAGUUGGUAGUGUAAAGGACUACCAAGGCUUUGACGGAUAGCGGGUGUGAGAGCACGACCCGCCUCACUGGGACUGAGAUACUGCCCAGACACCUACGGGUGGCAG
rnacentral:rRNA from 1 species